rnacentral:lncRNA from 1 species
UAGGCCACCAGAGAAUUCCUAUGAAAAUAGUUUUGACCUGAAGACCUCCCUAUGAUUAGACAACAGGAAUAUAAGCACCAUCAUCCCCUCAAGGAGCAACCUUAAAAAGCAAAAAAAAAAUUCCCCCACUUACUAAUCUAAUACAGUUGUGAGAAGUGCUAUGACAGCUUUCAAGUGGGGAAUCCAAUAUCGUGGAGUUAAGGGCAUCAAGGAAGGCUUCCUUGAAAAGUGAUGUGUUGAGACCAUUCUUUUCAGUGACUGGUGUUCAGAGUCCUUUAACUUCCUUUCCAUUUUGAUUGCCAUCAUUGUAUAACAGACCCCAUCGCUUCCUGUCAGGACUACUGUAAAAGACUCUCCUAAGUUUGGUCUCUCUGCCUUCAACCCUACAACCCAUCCUGUAUCUGUAGCCAGAUUAAAUUUCCUAAAAGACUGUUUCUAUAGAGAAACAUGGUACCCUAAGCUAAGUAAGGGAUACCGACUAGGUAAGUCAGAUUAGAAUUUUGAAUCUGUAGCUCCUAAUUGCUGUGUUUACAGGAGAAUUAUUAAACCUCACUGAGCUUUAGUUUCACACUCUGUAAGAUGAAGUUUUAUACAUCAGAACCACACUAAACUCACUGGCAAGUCUGCCAUACUAACUGGUACAGAACUGUCACUCAACGAAUAUUAGUUCAUUUCUUCUAACCUACAUUUCCAUUAGCUUUUGCCUAUGGUAUGCACUAGGGUAAAUUGCUAUUACUUGUAAUAAAAAGUCUGGGGUGGGAUUUUAACCAAAGGUUAAUAAAAAGAAAAAACCACUGUCCCUACACUAGAGGGUGGGGUUAGUUAGCUAGUAAAAUAACGAAUUCUAUAAAUGUGCUGAGAAAAUGUGUUACUGUUCAGAAAAAGCCAAUCACAAACAUGUUUAAAAAAAAAAAAAACAAACAAACCUAGAAAACAAAGGGUGACUAAGUACCAGUACAAACUAAAUAUCUGGGGGAAAAGGCUGGAAAAGUAGGAUUAAAUGCAACCAUGACUUUGAGAUACAAUCAGAGAGGCAGAAAUAGUCUCUAGUCAGCAAGAAAGGUAUACACCAUGACACCAGUAAUAAGUCAUCAAGUUUGACUCUGGCCUAGAUAAAACAGACCUAAAUAUUUCAUUCCAUGCUAUUAAUAGUUCUUUAAUAAACCAGUUUCUCACCCACUUCAUCAAGAAUGGGGAUCAUGGGAGUUCCAAUUAUGGCUUAGCGGGUUAAGAACCCAACUAGUAUUCAUUGGGUUAAGGAUACGGGGUUGCCAAAAGCUGUGGUAUAGAUUGCAGAUGCAGCUCUGAUCCCGUGUUGUUGUGGCAUAGGCCAGCAGCUGAAGCCCUGAUUUGACCCCUAGCCCAGGAAUUUCCAUAUGCCACAAGUGUGGCCCUAAAAAAGCAAAAAUAAAUAAAUAAAUAAAUGAAAAUAAAAAGGAGGCAGGAUAAUGGAUAAUAAACUUUUCUGGAGAAAAAAGUUCCCCAACAUGAACAGUACACUACUAGGUAACAAAAUCAAGAAUUUUUAGCCUGCAAAGUAUGAGACUCCUGAGUAUGUGGCUGGACAAUGGGCUGUACAAUUAAGUCUGGCCUAAAACAAACUAGUCUUACCCUGGGAAUGUGGAUCCCUAACAUAUUCUGGAUUAAGAGUUGUAAACUGUAAUUAUAACAAACCUCCUCCAUACAUAACAACUGUUAAGAGAAACAAUGCGUAGUUCAAAUUUUGUAUAUCUUUCUUUUCUUUUCUUUUUUUUUUUCUUUUCUAGGACCGCGCCCACAGCAUAUGGAGGGUCCUAGGCUAGGGGUCUAAUCGUACCUGUGGCUGCUGCCACAGCCACAGCAAUGCAGGAUCCGAGCCACAUAUGGACCUAUACCACAGCUCAUGGCAACGCUGGAUCCUUAACCCACUGAGCGAGGCCAGGGACCGAACCUGCAGCGUCAUGGUUCCUAGUUGGGUUCGUUAACCACUGCGCCACAACAAGAACUCCAAAUUUUGAAUAUCUUAAAAAAAAAAAAAAAUUAAAGCCUAAAAACCUUCAGUGUUCUCA